GCCGAGAUGUCGAAAUUGGCAGCCGAUCGCGACUCAAAAUCGCGCGCUCUUAACGGAGCAUGGGGGUUCGACUCCCCCUCUCGGCA
rnacentral:tRNA from 1 species